ACGUCCGGAUGAGAUCCAUGCUCAUUAAAAUGGGAAACAGUAUUCUGAUUCAUCCUUGAAAGACAUGAAGAUACUUAUCCCAAGUGCUGUUUAAGCUGAAGAGGCAUCAAAGUUACAGUUUCUCUUAAAAUGUCCCCCACAAUAGAGAUAUGUGAGGUGGUGAAGAUUCCACCACAAAGUAUUUUUGCUGUCUGCAUUCAUCUUUCUUUGUGCAGGCUGCUUUUAAGUGAUGUUCUAGUGAUUCACAAUGGACACAAAGAAAGUCUAGACUAAGGACAUGGCAGAAAGUGGAUUGAAUUAUGCCUCGUUUUUCUCUGGCAUGAAAACAAAGCACAACGAGGAGGUGCACCAAGAUGCAGGAGGUAAAGAGCAAUCACAGCUCCAGGAACUUUAUGCCUCUGGGACAAAUAAACUGAUUAUUCCAUCCACUUCCCACUCAAGCACUACUUUGUUGAUGUGGAUCCACUGAGCACUGGGCUGCAAAGCCUUCGGCAGGAUUUAUUUCCAAGUGCGUCUAGCCAGGACAGAAUCCGUCAAAAUGAGCUCAAGAGUCAAGUCUUCUGUGUACACAAUGCUACCAGUCAAAGAAUGAGAACUAAGACCAUUCAAUUUCCUCCUUUUCUGGAGCCAAGCCAGGCUGACAUUUUCCUUUCUGUUAGUUUUGGCAAAGAGGAAAGAGAGGAAAAACUUUUACUACUCUGUUACUGAUGGGGUUUUUAUUUUGUUUUUAUUAAAAAUGUUGAAACAUGG